rnacentral:lncRNA from 1 species
GAAGCUUUCAAGUACAUCCGUCGACGGAUUUUGGAAGAGCAGGCCAAUUAUGAGGACUCUUUCUAAGAAGAGAGUCAAAGAAUUCGCCGAUUCUGAAAUCUAAAGUUGCGACGACAGUAUUGCGGCUCUGUGCAUCCAUUUUAUGUUGCAUGUGAGAUUAGAUAUGGCGAAUACGAAAAAAAAUUGAGGAAAGAGACUUGAAUACAUGAUUGUAGAAUUGCGUGUAACAAAGAAGAGGAAGGAGUUGAACACAAGAUGUAUUUCUAUACUAUUUUAUGAAAUGGAAUAGAUUGUCUUCCUUUCAAAUUCGACACUUCUCUUUUUGCCAUGUUUAUUAAUAUAUAAUGUACUAUUUAUCAUGUUAUAUAUUUCAUUCGAUGCUUGAAAAAGAAGAUUCAAUCUUGUUUGCAACUGUAGUUUACAAAUUUUAUGUAUUGGUUGUUGUUCCAUGUUUCAUUGAUAUUAGUUUUGUAUCAGUAUGUAUAUGAGUUUUAUUGGUGUGUAUAUGAUUUGUAAAGAAAAAUAAUAUAGUUAACAUAAAUGGAAUAAAAUUUAUUAUACCAUCAAAUAACAUAAAAUACAAUGUGAUGUCGAAUGGAAUAAUAAUCAUAAGUUAUAUUUGGGUUUAUAGUGUAAUGAUUAGAGUUUAGAUUUACUAAUUAGGGAUUUAGGUGUAAUAUUUAGUGGUUGUGUGAGAGUUUACUAUGUAAAGGUUAAAGGUUAGAUUGAGCUCAUAUACUAUUUCAACAGUUAUAUAUAUGUUAUAUUUGGGUUUAUAGUUUACCGAUUAGGGUUUAGAUUUACUAAUUAGGGGUUUGGGUGUAGUAUUUAAUGGUUGUGGGACGGUAUACUAUAUAGGGGUUAGAGGGCAAGUUGAGAUCCUAUACUAUUUCAAUGAUAUGGAAUAGAACACGCACAACCUUUCAAACUAAGAGAAUAUGCAUUCCUG